CUGGCAAUUAUACGUGCAUAUAUGGGUCAACCGCACACAAUAAUUUGCGGGAGUAAAGAGGUACAAACCGAGGGUUCUUGGGAUGCGAAGAACAACAAAAAGAGCUAAAGACAUCUUGAUCUACAAAGGGGUAACAAAUCUUCGACGCCAAAUAUAAUCCCAAAGUCAAUCAGGAAGGCGAUUUGCGAGGAACAGCCUUGUGAGAAACAUCACAACAGCACAUGUAAGUUUAUUUUUUAUGGUUUUUUUAAUAAAAUAAAAUAUUAUUUCGAGUGGGGAUGAUGUACUUUGCUCAUUUUAGUGCAGAUGUAGUGAAUUGAACGAUUAUUAUGAUGAGUAUUUUCAGAAUAUUUCUUCCAGUGUAAAAUUUGAAGUUAGAUGUUUGGCAGUGGAGUUUAGUAUGGUGGAAACUGUUGGAGCCUCAACUUAAAAUUUCGAAGCAUCAUUUGCCUUAUUUCUCGAAUUGUGACCAAAAUCUUUUGUACCAAAAGAAUCACUAUUUUUCGUGCCUUCAUUAUUAAAUAGGAAAAUCCUUUGAAGCCUAUAUUGGCUA